rnacentral:rRNA from 1 species
GACGUAGGGCGCGAGCGUUGUCCGGAUUUAUUGGGCGUAAAGAGCUCGUAGGCGGCUUGUCGCGUCGACUGUGAAAUCCCGUGGCUCAACUGCGGGCUUGCAGCCGAUACGGGCAGGCUAGAGUUCGGUAGGGGAGACUGGAAUUCCAGGUGUAGCGGUGAAAUGCGUAGAUAUCUGGAGGAACACCGGUGGCGAAGGCGGCAUCCUGGACCAACACUGACACUGAUGAGCGAAAGCCAGGGGAGCAAACGGG